GUGUCAUCUGGGAGCAUAGGGCAACAAGGCGUAGUCCUCAUUUCUUGGGGGGUAGAAUGGGUCAGGGAUCUUAAAAAGGGUCAAAUAGUGCUGUCAGAGCAAUUCCUUUCUCAGAAUAGUUGCUAUAAUUUGGCAAAUGCUUUCUUGAAAAUUGACAUCCCUAUGACACUGACAAUUUAUUAGAGCACCUAAUGUCUUAUCCCAAGGCAUUUUUUUUAACAGUAACUAAUGUCAUAGAUUUCUCCUUUUUUCCUUCUUCCCUUUUUGUUGCUCUUUUUUCCUCAGAGUUCAAAGUGAUCUACUUCUGGAUAUUACUUUUAUAUCAGAGGCCUUCUGUAUCAUCCCUUGGGUUGCUGCAACCAUAGUAUCUUUGGAUAAGAUUCCUCUGUUCCAGUCAGUUCUGGGGAAUUUUUUUCUUUAGCGGAGGUAGGUGGUGGAUAAGGAAGAGAAGCUGUGACAUCAGAGCUACUAUCUAAUAAAAAACAGCUUGUAGUUGAGGCUUCCUUUGUGUCCAUGAUGAGAAACGGGAAAGAGCACCCCUAUUGUCUCAGCACUAAGAAACUGAGGGCAGCCUUCCCUCUUCCUACAGGAGGCUCUUCAUCCCCUCCCCCCCAUAAUUUGCCUUGUUUUUCACUUCCUUAUAAAAUGUCUCCUCUCAUAUUUUUCCUUCCUCCUUUUAAAAAUAAUAGAAAAGGUUUUAAAAGGGGAAUGAAAUGUUUCUGGGUUCCUUGGCACUUUGGCAAGGUAGAAAUUCUAAGCAGCCUCUGCCUAGGACUUUGUCCAUAGUCUGUAGCAAGGCACUGUUAAGUCCCUUGGAUAGGGAUAAAGGGGUAAGGCCCUUCCACCGUCUGUCCCACUCUUGACAUUUUUCUUACCUUUUAACAGAACACACAUAACUACGCUUUCUACCUCAUAGUUUGUUAUGGAAACUAAGGAUGCUGGAGCAGCUUAACCUAUAUACACUGCCUUGAAUGACAUGUUAAAAAAAAUGGCUCUACCAAGCUCUGGGGUAUAUAUUCAGAAUACCUCAUGUCCUGGAAAGUGAGCACAAGCUCCCCUCAAGUGCCUGCCUAGCAGAGCCUAUGUUGCUUCCUUGUACCUGCGCCUCUGACUCAUAUAGCCUUUCCUUGCUCUGAAGCUCUUGACUAGAAAAGAAUUCUGUUUCUAGGUUCUGAGAGAAGUGUGUGUAAAUUUGGAUAGUAGAAGUGCUCUGUUGUGGUCUGGAUGGACAAAAAUUUUCUGCAUGCACUUGAGUAGGUUGCCUAAAAUGCACUGUCACUAUACAGAAAACAUGCAGUUUCCCAAAUAACAUAUCUGAUCAGGUAAGCAUAAUCAACAGGAGUGCAGCAAAUAUGGUUUCAUAAAGUGGGCAGGAAAAAAGCAAUGUAAAUAACUUUUUGAAUAGUCCCCAGCUCACUAAGGAAAGGAGACAUUUUCACAUGUUUU
rnacentral:lncRNA from 1 species